rnacentral:rRNA from 1 species
ACACGUAGGGGGCGAGCGUUGUCCGGAAUUACUGGGCGUAAAGGGCGCGUAGGCGGCCAUUUAAGUCCGAUGUGAAAACCCAAGGCUUAACCAUGGGAUUGCAUUAGAAACUGAAUGGCUUGAGGGCAGGAGAGGAAAGCGGAAUUCCCAGUGUAGCGGUGAAAUGCGUAGAUAUUGGGAGGAACACCAGUGGCGAAGGCGGCUUUCUGGACUGAACCUGACGCUGAGGCGCGAAAGCCAGGGGAGCGAACGGGAUUAGAUACCCCGGUAGUCCUGGCCGUAAACGAUGGAUACUAGGUGUGGGAGGUAUCGACCCCUUCCGUGCCGGAGCAAACGCAAUAAGUAUCCCGCCUGGGGAGUACGGCCGCAAGGCUGAA